UUGGGCGUAAAGGGCUCGUAGGCGGUUUGUCGCGUCGGGAGUGAAAACACUGGGCUUAACUCAGUGCUUGCUUCCGAUACGGGCAGACUAGAGGUAUGCAGGGGAGAACGGAAUUCCUGGUGUAGCGGUGAAAUGCGCAGAUAUCAGGAGGAACACCGGUGGCGAAGGCGGUUCUCUGGGCAUUACCUGACGCUGAGGAGCGAAAGUGUGGGGAGCGAACAGGAUUAGAUACCCUGGUAGUCCACACCGUAAACGUUGGGCGCUAGGUGUGGGGUCCAUUCCACGGAUUCCGUGCCGCAGCUAACGCAUUAAGCGCCCCGCCUGGGGAGUACGGCCGCAAGGCUAAAACUCAAAGGAAUUGACGGGGGCCCGCACAAGCGGCGGAGCAUGCGGAUUAAUUCGAUGCAACGCGAAGAACCUUACCUGGGUUUGACAUACACCGGAAAGCCUCAGAGAUGAGGCCCCUUUUGUCGGUGUACAGGUGGUGCAUGGCUGUCGUCAGCUCGUGUCGUGAGAUGUUGGGUUAAGUCCCGCAACGAGCGCAACCCUCGUCCUAUGUUGCCAGCACGUCAUGGUGGGGACUCAUAGGAGACUGCCGGGGUCAACUCGGAGGAAGGUGGGGAUGACGUCAAGUCAUCAUGCCCCUUAUGUCCAGGGCUUCACGCAUGCUACAAUGGCCGGUACAAAGGGCUGCGAUGCCGUAAGGCGGAGCGAAUCCCAAAAAGCCGGUCUCAGUUCGGAUUGGGGUCUGCAACUCGACCCCAUGAAGUCGGAGUCGCUAGUAAUCGCAGAUCAGCAACGCUGCGGUGAAUACGUUCCCGGGCCUUGUACACACCGCCCGUCACGUCAUGAAAGUCGGCAACACCCGAAGCCGGUGGCCCAACCCUUGUGGAGGGAGCCGUCGAAGGGG
rnacentral:rRNA from 1 species